GCACACCACCGUGCUCGCCGCCAGCAACCACCGCGAUCCCUUGCCGUCGCCUGACUUCCCUUGCACGCCACAACAGCAGCCUCGAGCUCCGUCGCCGCCGCUGCGCCCAGCCACGUGUACAACCUCCGCAAGCCGCCGACGUCCCCGUCGUGCUCUGUCCGCCGGCCAACACUCCUUGUUCUCUCUUUUGGCGGAGAAUUCUUUGUGGGCGACUUUUGAAUUCGUUAAAGUGGCCUAUCAGUUUGUUUACACAAGUCUCUAAGGAUCAAUAAGCAUUGUCCAUCUGCAGGUUUGAAGAUGUUGCAUAAUUGGGAUCGGGAAUAGAGAGCUUGUAUUUAGUUUUGAUUUGCUAAGUUAACUUGGGUUUGUUAAUUGGGACUUUAAACUUGUCGUACUAUUUAUAUUUCCUUAUUUUCGUUGGAUGAUUUUUGGGAUUAAACCUGUAAUCGAUUAUUUAUAAACCUAAAGUUAGUUUUAUGU